rnacentral:lncRNA from 1 species
UGCAUUUAAAUCAAAUUUCUUUGCCUCUUUAUGGUACACCUCUCACAGCUGGUGUAUGUAGAUCAGACAGGUGAAAAAAGAGAGGCUUAAAUAAAAGGUUAAGGCCUUCUAGCAGAAAACAGCCCCAAAGUCCCAUUGAUUUAUUUAUUUAUAUCCUUGCUAAAAAUACAUUGAACUUAUGUAACACUUUCACAGGACAUUCCCUGACAAGCUUCAUGCCUCUUUUUUGACAUAGAACGUCUGUGAAAAGAGGCACAGAGAAACCCACUGAAGGUGAAUUCCUUUAAAACUUACAGUGAGAAGUUCUUGAUCAGGUGCAGGAGAAGAGCACAGAUGCCAAUCAGAGGCUGUGAGGACACCCACCUCUGCCCCUUGGUUUGAAAAGAAGCUGUACUGGAUCUCAAUGAAGGCCCCACAUUCAGAUUGGCAGCAGGUUCAGAUUGGAUUUCCUCUCUACAGCUGCUCCACACUCCACUUGCAUCAUGUCCAAACAUCUGGCUUUAAUCUAUUAGAGAGCACCAUAGCAAACCACCUCUGGCACCUCAUCUUCAAUCAAAAGACGAAUGACUAUUCUCCAGAGUACCAAGCUCCACAUUGUUAACAUUCUGUCCCUGCCUAUCUUCACCUCACCUUAUCUUAUUUCUUGUUUAUGUGAAGCAG